ensembl:snRNA U4 U4 spliceosomal RNA
AGCUUUCCACAGUGGCAGUAUCAUAGCCAAUGAGGUUUAUCUGAGGCACAAUUAUUGCUAAUUGAAAACAUUUCCAAAUACCCUGCCAUGAAGACUUGCAAUAUAGUUGACAUUAGCAAUUUUUGACAGUCUCUAUGGUGA